CCUACGGGGGGCAGCAGUGGGGAAUAUUGGGCAAUGGGCGCAAGCCUGACCCAGCAACGCCGCGUGAAGGAAGAAUGCUUUCGGGUUGUAAACUUCUUUUCUUAGGGACGAAGAAAGUGACGGUACCUCAGGAAUAAGCCACGGCUAACUACGUGCCAGCAGCCGCGGUAAUACGUAGGUGGCAAGCGUUAUCCGGAUUUAUUGGGUGUAAAGGGCGUGUAGGCGGGAAAGCAAGUCAGAUGUGAAAAUUCAGGGCUCAACCCUGAGCCUGCAGUUGAAACUGUUUUCCUUGAGUGCUGGAGAGGCAAUCGGAAUUCGGUGUGUAGCGGUGAAAUGCUUAGAUAUACGGAGGAACACCAGUGGCGAAGGCGGACUGCUGGACAGUAACUGACGCUGAGGCGCGAAAGCGUGGGUAGCAAACAGGAUUAGAUACCCUAGUAGUC
rnacentral:rRNA from 1 species